GGCUACCACAUCCAAGGAAGGCAGCAGGCGCGCAAAUUACCCACUCCCGGCACGGGGAGGUAGUGACGAAAAAUAACGAUACGGGACUCAUCCGAGGCCCCGUAAUCGGAAUGAGUACACUCUAAACCCUUUAACGAGGAUCAAUUGGAGGGCAAGUCUGGUGCCAGCAGCCGCGGUAAUUCCAGCUCCAAUAGCGUAUAUUAAAGUUGUUGCGGUUAAAAAGCUCGUAGUCGAAUCUGUGUCUCGCGCCGCCGGUUCAUCGCUCGCGGUGUUUAACUGGCGUGUCCGCGAGACGUCCUGCCGGUGGGCUUAGCUCGUUCGCGGGCGGCCCAACUUCAAAUCCCACCGCGGUGCUCUUGACUGAGUGUCGAGGUGGGCCGGCACGUUUACUUUGAACAAAUUAGAGUGCUUAAAGCAGGCUAAAACUUCGCCUGAAUACUGUGUGCAUGGAAUAAUGGAAUAGGACCUCGGUUCUAUUUUGUUGGUUUUCGGAACCCCGAGGUAAUGAUUAAUAGGAACGGAUGGGGGCAUUCGUAUUGCGACGUUAGAGGUGAAAUUCUUGGAUCGUCGCAAGACGGACAGAAGCGAAAGCAUUUGCCAAAAACGCUUUCAUUGAUCAAGAACGAAAGUUAGAGGUUCGAAGGCGAUCAGAUACCGCCCUAGUUCUAACCAUAAACGAUGCCAGCUAGCGAUCCGCCGACGUUCCUCCGAUGACUCGGCGGGCAGCUUCCGGGAAACCAAAGCUUUUGGGUUCCGGGGGAAGUAUGGUUGCAAAGCUGAAACUUAAAGGAAUUGACGGAAGGGCACCACCAGGAGUGGAGCCUGCGGCUUAAUUUGACUCAACACGGGAAACCUCACCAGGCCCGGACACCGGAAGGAUUGACAGAUUGAGAGCUCUUUCUUGAUUCGGUGGGUGGUGGUGCAUGGCCGUUCUUAGUUGGUGGAGCGAUUUGUCUGGUUAAUUCCGAUAACGAACGAGACUCUAGCCUGCUAACUAGGCGUAUUUUCGACAUCUCAAAGGCCCGCCGGCCCGUCGCUCUCGCGUCGCGGUCGCGCGCGGUUUUUACUGUCGGCGUACAAUCAAUUCUUCUUAGAGGGACAGGCGGCUUCUAGCCGCACGAGAUUGAGCAAUAACAGGUCUGUGAUGCCCUUAGAUGUUCUGGGCCGCACGCGCGCUACACUGAAGGAAUCAGCGUGUCCUCCCUGGCCGAGAGGCCCGGGUAACCCGCUGAACCUCCUUCGUGCUAGGGAUUGGGGCUUGCAAUUGUUCCCCAUGAACGAGGAAUUCCCAGUAAGCGCGAGUCAUAAGCUCGCGUUGAUUACGUCCCUGCCCUUUGUACACACCGCCCGUCGCUACUACCGAUUGAAUGAUUUAGU
rnacentral:rRNA from 1 species